rnacentral:lncRNA from 1 species
AAUAACGUAUCUGGGGUCCCCCUUAUAUAGGUGGUGGGCUCAACAGACUGAUAGUGACGUUCAUAACCGUCUCGUAGUGGGCUGCCCACCGUCAGGAGGAAUUCGCUACGAGGAGUAGUGGGGUAGACCCGUGGCCCUCACUGUAGCGCUCCACGUGGAGUCUGUUGCAUGGAGUGGAGCGGCAUCCGUUGUCGUGACUUGCCAGC